UCUUCAUCAUUCCACACACACACACACACACACAUAUAGGUCAUCGAAAAGAAAAUAGAUCAUGUAAAAGAAAGUUCAAACUUUAAAUUGAUAUGCCUGUAAACCAACCAAUCAAAACACCCCAAUUAAAUUAAUAAAAAUUGAAAAGAGGAUGUUUAGUCAUCGUCAAGUUUCAAAGCCAUUUUCUGGAGCCUUCCUUCUUAGUUCUUAAGCAGUACCUUUCACUCUUAUUACAACAAAUAUAUUCUCGAUCCUUCUUUUCAUCAUGCAAAUAUUAUAUAUAUGAGUGCCAGAACCAUAUAUAAAUCCCAUAUCUAUAUAAACUUGUGAAAUAUAUGCAGUUGUGUUUCUCUCUGGUGUUUCACUGAUCGAUCAUUGUCUUGUGUUGGAGAUGAAUGAGCCUAAGUAUGGUUACCCGUAUCAACCUCCUCAAGGGCCUUAUCAAGGACCUCCUGUGAUGGCUCCUCCACAAUAUAAUGCUGCUCCACCACCAAAAAGAGAACCAGGUUUCCUUGAAGGAUGCCUUGCAGCGUUGUGUUGCUGUUGUCUCUUGGAUGAGUGUUGCUGCGACCCCUCCAUUAUAUUUGUUACCUGAUAAUGUUAUCAUCUUUUGGAACAAAUUGAAAGGACAGUUUGUGUUUCAUGUAUUUAAAUACACACAAAUUUGUACUGACCAUCAAAACAUAUACCUGUAUCUUUAUAAAUAUAUGUUUCAGUACCACUACA